GGCAGAAGUGGUGAGGGGUUGAAUGCGUUCCGAGCCGCGUUCUGUCGGAACAGGCGGUGUCAUCUCCCUGCCGCCAGCGACAGCAGCAAGCUUCGAUCUACAAACAGAACAAGAAGACCCUGCAGUCAGAGUGCCAUGAAUGGGCCCAGCUGUCUCUUCUUGUCCCUGUUCUGUGGUAUCUGUCUAUCUGAAAUAACCCAGUCCCCCGACCAGAGCGGUGCUGAGUUGGCUGAUGCAAAGAUUCAAUGCAAUCAUGACAUUCCUGAUGGGAAUUACGAUUCCAUUUACUGGUAUUACCAGAUGGCCAGCACUGAACUUACUUACAUCGCUCACAGCUACAGUGAGGAGAGAAAUUCAGGACGCUAUGGAGUCUGUGUUGACCGUGCCAACAGCUCCAGCAUUUUAACCAUCAGGACUUUACAACCGGGAGAUGGUGCUGUAUAUUAUUGUGCCUUGCAACGCACAAUGGUUCACCUCUUGUAACACCCUGAACAAUAACUUGCUACUCAAGGAAAGCUUGAUCCAAAGACCAUUGAAGACAAUGGAAAGACUCCUGUUGAAUUCAGUGGUGCAGCUCAGGUGAUUAAAGACAACCGUGGGCAAAAAAGUCCGCAGAAAGAGAAUUCUAGUGCCUAGCAAUAUCGGGGGUUAAAGAUGGACUGAAUUCCUCAGGGAAGAUUGAUCAAAAGUUAGAAAAUAAAUAGACAAGGUGAGUGAGGCAAUAUCUUUUAUUUGACCAACUUCUGUUGGUGAGAGAGACAAGCUAUCACAGAGCUCUGUGGAGAAAAAGUUCGGCCAAUAAAAGAUAUUACCUCUCCCACCUUUUCUCUUUCUUACAGAGGACCAACACAGCUACCACAACACUGCAAACAGAAUAAAAACACAGAUAAUGACAAGACACUGACCAAAGGCAAAUGAGUCUUGUAAAGACAAAACAUGCAAGUUAUGAAUGAAAUUUGUUAACCCUUCUAUGGAAAGUUCAUGUACGUUAAUAAUGAUAAAAAUCAAGUGGGUAAUUAAAAUAAUUAAUUGUCCAGUUCUGGUCACCCAUGCUCAAAAAAAGAUUACUUCAAAGUGGAAGAGGUGCAGAGGAGGGCUACUCAGAUGUUCAGGGAAAUGGAAAGCUGAUUUUAGGAGAUGAAAUUGAUUAUUUAGUCUAGAAAAACAAAGGCUGUCAGAGGAUGGGCAGGGACGGUGUCCCUAGCCUCUGCUUGCCAGAAGCUGGAAAUGGGCAGCAGGGGAUGGAUCACUGGGUGAUUCCCGUUCUGUUCAUUCCCUCUGGGGCACCUGGCACUGGCCACUGUUGGAAGACAGGAGACUGGGCUAGAAGGACCUUUGGUCUGACCCAGUCUGGCCGUUCUUAUGUUCUUAUGAGGAUCUGACUGCUCUUUAUAAAUGUAUCAGUAAGAUAAACACCAGGGAGGGAGACCUGGACAAUGUUUGUAGAAGGACAACUGGUUAUAAACUGGCCACAAAUAAAUUUAGGUUGGAAAUUAGAAGAUGUCUAAUCAUUAGAGGAGUGACUAUGAGGUUAUAGAACAGGUGAUAGAAGGAGAGGGCGUGAACAACCUAACUAGUUUUAAGAUGGAGCUUGAUAAAUUUAUGAAUGUGUUUAUAAAAUGGGGUUUCCUGAAAUGCUCUAUGACCCAGGAUGGAGAUCCCUUCCAGUCCUAUGUCAUACUUUCCUAUGGAUAUUAAUUGUUUACCUGAAUAACUGCAUUUUGUCUUUAUUAAAAUAUUGAAAAAAUGAAUUGUUUGUGCAAAUAAAACCAAUAUUUUAAAUAUUACCACAUAUAAUAUAAAUGUUAUGAAAUAUCUGUUUAUUUUUACUGUAUUUUUGAAUACAUGAAUAAAAAGAAGUUGUCUUAAUUUGACAGAC